AAGCAGAAUAGUUUUCCUUUGUUCAUUCUUCAAAAAGCCCUCUACUCUACAGUAAACGCACGUACCACAAAGUAAAGCUAGGAAAACGAGGGUGCAUUCUAGCUGGUGGCUUUAUCUGAUUCAUCCUAAAUUCUAGCUUUGUGUCCCAGGUUUUCAAUUCCUACUUCCAGUUCUCUUUGCUUUCUGCAAAUGUGAUUCACCUCUUAGCUACUUGAAACAGAGCUUGCUUUUUGGCUCAUCGAGUCUUCUCAACCCCGUAGUUUGAGCAUCUCCUUUUAUCCUUAGAGAACCCUGUUAAGCCACUGGCUCCAUCACCCAUGGCUGAACCAGGAGCUAGUGGUCAUGAUGGAAGAGGGAAAGAGGACUGCAAUCAGGAAGAUGUAAUCAAAAAGCUGUUCUUGUUUAAAGGCAACAUGAAGUGAACUCAAAGAAAGUUGUGCAAAGAACGCAUCCAGAGGGCUUUACUGAGAACAUUCACUGCACCGACAUUGUUUACUAAAGGAAGCUGACUGUAGCAGUUGCUGGUGAGGAAGAGGAUACUUUCCUCAGCUUAAUUCCCAGAAUACAGAGUGUGAGUGUGUGGGAGAAAUCCAAGUGAACUUGACGAACACAUGGCAUUCACACUGUGAGGACAACAGAUGGGACGUGUCAGCAAUAAACUGCCUAAGUUUGGUGAGGCUAUUUCCUAAGAGGAGCAGUGUGGCACAGUGGGAAGAAUAGUAAAUUCAAAGGGUUUAAUUUUGGUUUUGGCUUAUGGUGCUUUGAAAUUGUCACACCAGAAGCCGAAUGUGUCAGGAAAACCGCUCAUUCCCAAGCAAUGUUAUGAAUUACAUGGCUGUGAACCAAACAAUUGCUCUGGUUUAGAGUCUGGUAAGUGGACGUUGAACCCG
rnacentral:lncRNA from 1 species